UACGUAGGGUGCAAGCGUUAAUCGGAAUUACUGGGCGUAAAGCGUGCGCAGGCGGUUUUGUAAGUUUGUCGUGAAAUCCCCGGGCUCAACCUGGGAACUGCAUUGUGACUGCAUAGCUAGAGUACGGUAGAGGGGGAUGGAAUUCCGCGUGUAGCAGUGAAAUGCGUAGAUAUGCGGAGGAACACCGAUGGCGAAGGCAAUCCCCUGGACCUGUACUGACGCUCAUGCACGAAAG
rnacentral:rRNA from 1 species